rnacentral:lncRNA from 1 species
UGGGCCAGAAGGAGGCAGCAUUCUGUGUCGCUCCGUGACCUGGGACUCAAGUAGUGAGAACACUGCUUCUCUGCAAGCAAUACUCCUGCUCCAGUGCAGGAAUCACAGCCAUCAUGCCCAUCUAGGGCUCCAGGCCUCAGCCUCAGGGUAGGUCUUCCAACUACUUGUCCAUGCAGGAAAUACAAGAUACACAAGUGGGAUCAUCAGCAUCUACGUAAAACUUUUGGCCACCCACCUAAGCAGAAAUAACUGAUAUCACUCCCACACAGGACACCCGACAGCUUCUCACAUGCAGGAACUCUGGCCACCACUCCCGUGUGAACCCGCAUCUACCACCAUGGGGCUCCCCUGGUCUCUGCCAUCUUGGGACUACUCUGCAGCAGUGGAGACAGUCCCCUACACACAGUAGCCUGCCUGCACCCAGGAACUUCAUGAAUGCUCUGAAGAUAGCUGACAGCCACACACUGGAAGCCACAGAGCUCCUCUCUCAACUAAUUAUCCAACGUCAUCCCCUAGUUCUCCCACCCAACCUGACACCCCACCGCUGAUGGGCCUUCAUCACCAUCUUCAGUAGGGCAACAUCCAAUUUGGAACUUCAGCUGGCCAGGUAUCCAGUUUCCAACUCCCCUCUCUCCCCAGCAGCACUAUCCCCACACAGUGACACCCUGGUUACCUUCAUCAGCCUGAAAGUGGAGAAAUCAGCUAUUAACAGAUGACCCCAUCUCUUGGAUAAGAAGGGAAGUAGGAAAGAUACUGAUUUCCAACCACAACAAUCGGUGUUUCUUCCUUCAAGAUUUUUUUUCCUCUAUUAUCCCACCCUCACAUCCCCAACAUAUGUGAAACCAAGUACUUUGCAUGAAUUAGGAUUUUGAGGACUGGGAUAUCUCAAGAGUAUCUUACAGUUGUGUUGCAUAUUACUUUUCCCCACCAAUUUAUACUAUUUUAACAUCUUUUUCUUAACAUAUAUGUGUGUUUAUUUUAUGUAUUCUACUGUCUUCCCACUUACUUGUCUACCCAAAAUUACUUCCUCUCCUUUCUCCUGCUACUAAUCUUCUUCUUUAGAUUUCUCAUUCACACUUCCUAAGAUAUAACAACUCUAUAUUCUCACCUCCUACCUCCUCAGAAAAUCAUCCUACUCCUCACCCCUGGUGCUUUGUCCAUCAUCAGAAACUGUAAACCUUUUUACAAACCUACUAAGUAUAUUGUAGAUAAUAAUUGAAUUCACCAUUUCUGUACAUUAUGACCAAACUGUAAAUGUCUUAAUAGCAAACAUUGGUUUUUAGUGUGUAUAUUGUUUAUAUUGGGAUCUGAUAAUAUUGUCCUUCAACUCAAAGGAGAGGUAUUGGGUCCUUACAGGGGCACUAUCAGCCUAAAGUAAAAACAGUAAUGCCUUGGAUCCACAGAGCUAGAAAGGAAGACACAAGCAAUAUGAAAAGACAAGGGAAGAAAGUAUCCUAAACAAAUCAAGAUACCACAUUAAUAGAAUCUAUGAACAGCACAGCAGAAGAAAUUAUAAAGAAGGAAUUCAGGAUGUACAUGAUUAAAAUAUUCUGUGAAUUAAAGGAUGAUAUAAAAGAGCAAAUAUAGGCAGCAAAAGAUCAUUUUGAAAAAGAGCUACAUAAAUGAAUACAGGAAGCAAAAAAGCAAAAAAUUACUUCAGGGAGAUAGAGGUCCAAAAAAAAAAAAAACAGAAAUGAAAAAAAAAAAGCAAAUUAAAAAUUCAAUUGAAAGCAUGUAUAAAAAGACCAAAUUUAAGAGUUAUUUAAGAGUUAUUUCACCAAUUCUAUUUGACAUAGUUCUUGAAACACUGGCUAGAGCAAUUACACAGAAGAAAGAAAUUAAAGGGAUACAGAUAGGAAAAGAAAGAAUUCAAAUCGGCACUAUUUGCCAACAAUAUGAUUCUAUACCUAGAAGACCCAAAAAAUUCCACCAGGAAACUUCUAGAACAAUUAAAUUAAUUCAACAAAGUAGCAGGAUACAAAAUCAACACCAUUAUAUCAAAGGCAUUUCUGUAUAUCAGUGACAAAUCCUCUGAAAAGGAAAUGAGAAAAAGUAUUCCAUUUCCAAUAGCCUAAAAACAAACAACAACAACAACAACAAAACAAAAACAAAAACAAAAAAACCCUUGGGAAUCAACCUAAUUAAAGAAGCCCUUAGAAGAUGGAAAGAUCUCCCUUGUUCUUGGUUAGGCAGAAUUAAUAUUGUCAAAAUGACCAUACUACCAAAAGCACUAUAAAGAUUUAAUGUAAUUCCAGUCAAAAUCCCAAUGACAGUCUUCAUUGAAAUAGAAAACGCAGUCAUGAAAUUCAUCUGGAAAAGUAAGAGACACAGAAUAGCCAAAGCAAUCCUUAGCAAGAAGAGUGAAGUAGGUCGCAUCAUUAUACUAGACCUUAAACUAUUCCAUAGAGCAAUAGUAACAAAAACAGCAUGGUAUUGGCACCAAAACAAACUGGUAGACCAAUGGUACAGAAUAGAGGACACAGAGACUAACCCAUGAAAUUACAAUUAUCUUAUAUUAGACAAAGCUGCCAAAAACAUACAUUGGAGAAAAGAUAGCUUCAACAAACACUGAUAGGAAAACUGUAAAUCCAUAUGCAACAAAAUGAGAUUAAACCCCUAUCUCUCACCAUGCACAAAACUCAACUCAAAGUGGAUCAAGGACCUAAGAAUUAAACCAGAGACCCUGUGUGUAAUAGAAGAAAAAGUAGGCCCAAAUCUCCAUCAUAUCAGAGUAGGCCCUUACUUUCUUAAUAAGCAUCCUAUAGCACAAGAAUUAAAAUCAAGAAUUAAUAAACUGGAUGGAUUCAAACUAAGAAGCUGCUUCUCAGCAAAAGUCAAUGAGGUGAAUAGAGAGGCUACAGGUUGGGAGCAAAAUUUUACCACUUGCACAUCAGAUAGAGCACUAAUGUCUAGGGUAUAUAAAGAACUCAAAAAGCUAAAGACCAAACAACAACAACAACAACAAAAAAUAAUACAAAAAAAAUAAAUAAAAAAACACAAAUAACCCAAUCAAUAAAUGGGCCAAAGAACUGAAUAGACACCUCUCAGAAGAUGAGAUGCAAUCAGUCAACAAAUAUAUGGAAAGGUGUUCAACAUGUCAAGCAAUUAGAGAAAUACAAAUCAAAAGUAAGAUUUCAUCUGACUCCAGUCAGAAUGGCAGCUAUUAAGAAUACAAACAACAAUAAUUGUUGGCGAGAAUUCAGGAAAAAGGCACACUCAUACAUUGCUGGUGGAAAUGCAAAAUGGUGCAGACAAUAUGGAAAGCAGUAUGGAGAUUUCUUGGAGAGCUGGGAAUAGAACCACAUUUUGACCCAGCUAUUCCACUCCUCGGUUUAUACCCAAAGGACUUAAAAACAGCAUACUACAGGUACACAGCCACAUCAAGGUUUACAGUAGCACAAUUCACAAUAGCUAAACUGUGGAACCAACCCAGAUGCCCUUCAGUAGAUGAAUGGAUAAAGAAUAUGUGGUAUAUAUACACAAUGGAAUAUUACUCAGCAAUAAAAGACAAUAAAAUCAUGACAUUUGCAGGUAAUGGAUGGAGUUGGAGAAAAAAAUGCUAAGUGAAGUUAGCCAAUUCCAAAAAACCAAAUACCAAAUGUUUUCUUUGAUAUAAGGAGGCUGAUUCACAGUGAGGUUGGGAGGGGGAGCAUGGAAAGAUUAAUCAAACUUUCCCAUAGUGGGGAAGGGAAAGAUCAAGAGGGUAAAAAAGAUGGUGGAUUGAGAUGGACAUCAUUACCCUCAGUAUAUGUAUGAAGACACAAAUGGUGUCAAUAUAUUUUGUAUACAACCAAAGAUAUGAAAAAUUGUGC